GGCGAACGGGUGAGUAACACGUGGGCAAUCUGCCCUGCACUCUGGGACAAGCCCUGGAAACGGGGUCUAAUACCGGAUAUGACCUUCCUCUGCAUGGGGGUUGGUGGAAAGCUCCGGCGGUGCAGGAUGAGCCCGCGGCCUAUCAGCUUGUUGGUGGGGUAAUGGCCUACCAAGGCGACGACGGGUAGCCGGCCUGAGAGGGCGACCGGCCACACUGGGACUGAGACACGGCCCAGACUCCUACGGGAGGCAGCAGUGGGGAAUAUUGCACAAUGGGCGAAAGCCUGAUGCAGCGACGCCGCGUGAGGGAUGACGGCCUUCGGGUUGUAAACCUCUUUCAGCAGGGAAGAAGCGCAAGUGACGGUACCUGCAGAAGAAGCACCGGCUAACUACGUGCCAGCAGCCGCGGUAAUACGUAGGGUGCGAGCGUUGUCCGGAAUUAUUGGGCGUAAAGAGCUCGUAGGCGGCCUGUCGCGUCGGAUGUGAAAGCCCGGGGCUUAACCCCGGGUCUGCAUUCGAUACGGGCAGGCUAGAGUGUGGUAGGGGAGAUCGGAAUUCCUGGUGUAGCGGUGAAAUGCGCAGAUAUCAGGAGGAACACCGGUGGCGAAGGCGGAUCUCUGGGCCAUUACUGACGCUGAGGA
rnacentral:rRNA from 1 species